rnacentral:rRNA from 1 species
GAUGAACGCUGGCGGCGUGCCUAAUACAUGCAAGUCGAGCGAACAGACGAGGAGCUUGCUCCUCUGACGUUAGCGGCGGGCGGGUGAGUAACACGUGGAUAACCUCCCUAUAAGACUGGGAUAACUUCGGGAAACCGGAGCUAAUACCGGAUAAUAUAUUGCACCGCAUGGUUGAAUAGUGAAAGACGGUUUUGCUGUCACUUCUAGAUGGAUCCGCGCCGCAUUAGCUAGUUGGUAAGGUAACGGCUUACCAAGGCAACGCUGCGUAGCCGACCUGAGAGGGUGAUCGGCCACACGGGAACGGAGACGCGGACCAGACUCCUAAGGGAGGCCGCAGUAUGGAAUCUUCCGCAAUGGGCGAAGGCCUGACGGAGCAACGCCGCGUGAGUGAUGAAGGUCUUCGGAUCGUAAAACUCUGUUAUUAGGGAAGAACAAAUGUGUAAGUAACUAUGCACGUCUUGACGGUACCGAAUCAGAAAGCCACGGCUAACUACGUG